CCGAGUUUACAACUCCCAAACCCCUGUGAACAUACCUUACUGUUGCCUCGGCGGAUCAGCCCGCGCCCGGUAAAACGGGACGGCCCGCCAGAGGACCCCCUAAACUCUGUUUUUAUUUGUAACUUCUGAGUAAAACCAUAAAUAAAUCA
rnacentral:misc_RNA from 1 species